GAGAGUGAGGAGGCUGCGUCUGGCUCCCGCUCUCACAGCCAUUGCAGUACAUUGAGCUCCAUAGAGACAGCGCCGGGGCAAGUGAGAGCCGGACGGGCACUGGGCGACUCUGUGCCUCGCUGAGGAAAAAAACUAAAGAUGGGCAAAGGAGAUCCUAAGAAGCCGAGAGGCAAGAUGUCAUCAUAUGCAUUCUUCGUGCAAACUUGCCGGGAGGAGCACAAGAAGAAGCACCCCGACGCUUCAGUCAACUUCUCAGAGUUUUCUAAGAAGUGUUCGGAGAGGUGGAAGACCAUGUCUGCUAAAGAGAAAGGGAAAUUUGAAGACAUGGCAAAGGCGGACAAGGCUCGUUAUGAAAGAGAAAUGAAAACUUAUAUUCCUCCUAAAGGGGAGACGAAAAAGAAGUUCAAAGAUCCCAAUGCACCCAAGAGGCCCCCUUCGGCUUUCUUCUUGUUCUGUUCUGAGUAUCGCCCCAAAAUCAAAGGUGAGCAUCCCGGCCUGUCCAUUGGCGAUGUUGCAAAGAAGCUGGGAGAGAUGUGGAACAACACUGCUGCAGACGACAAGCAGCCUUAUGAAAAGAAGGCAGCCAAGCUGAAGGAAAAGUAUGAAAAGGCUAUUGCUGCCUAUCGAGCUAAAGGAAAACCUGAUGCAGCGAAAAAGGGAGUUGUCAAGGCUGAAAAGAGCAAGAAAAAGAAGGAAGAGGAGGAAGAUGAGGAGGACGAAGAGGAUGAGGAAGAGGAGGAAGACGAAGAAGAUGAAGAUGAAGAAGAAGAUGAUGAUGAUGAAUAAGUUGGUUCUAGCGCAGUUUUUUCUUGUCUAUAAAGCAUUUAACCCCCCUGUACACAACUCACUCCUUUUAAAGAAA